rnacentral:rRNA from 1 species
GAUGAACGCUAGCUACAGGCUUAACACAUGCAAGUCGAGGGGAAACGAUAUUGGAAGCUUGCUUCUGAUAGGCGUCGACCGGCGCACGGGUGAGUAACGCGUAUCCAACCUGCCCAUCACUUGGGGAUAACCUUGUGAAAGUAAGACUAAUACCCAAUGACGUCUCUAGAAGACAUCUGAAAGAGAUUAAAGAUUUAUCGGUGAUGGAUGGGGAUGCGUCUGAUUAGCUUGUUGGCGGGGUAACGGCCCACCAAGGCGACGAUCAGUAGCCGGCCUGAGAGGGUGAACGGCCACAUUGGGACUGAGACACGGCCCAAACUCCUACGGGAGGCAGCAGUGGGGAAUAUUGCACAAUGGGGGAAACCCUGAUGCAGCGACGCCGCGUGGAGGAAGAAGGUCUUCGGAUUGUAAACUCCUGUUGUUGAGGAAGAUAAUGACGGUACUCAACAAGGAAGUGACGGCUAACGUACGUG